AUUGAACGCUGGCGGAAUGCUUUACACAUGCAAGUCGAGCGGCAGCGCGGGGCAACCUGGCGGCGAGCGGCGAACGGGUGAGUAAUACAUCGGAACGUGCCCAGACGUGGGGGAUAGCCCGGCGAAAGCCGGAUUAAUACCGCAUACGAUCUAAGGAUGAAAGCGGGGGAUCGCAAGACCUCGCGCGUUUGGAGCGGCCGAUGGCAGAUUAGGUAGUUGGUGGGGUAAAGGCUUACCAAGCCUGCGAUCUGUAGCUGGUCUGAGAGGAUGAUCAGCCACACUGGGACUGAGACACGGCCCAGACUCCUACGGGAGGCAGCAGUGGGGAAUUUUGGACAAUGGGCGAAAGCCUGAUCCAGCCAUUCCGCGUGCAGGAUGAAGGCCCUCGGGUUGUAAACUGCUUUUGUACAGAACGAAAAGGCUCUGGUUAAUACCUGGGGCUCAUGACGGUACUGUAAGAAUAAGCACCGGCUAACUACGUG
rnacentral:rRNA from 1 species